rnacentral:rRNA from 1 species
CGCUGCGAGGCGUUGAGCUAACCGGUACUAAUUGCUCGUGCGGCUUGACUAU